rnacentral:rRNA from 1 species
CACGUAGGCACCAAGCGUUGUCCGGAUUUAUUGGGCGUAAAGAGCUUGUAGGCGGUUCGGUAAGUCGGGUGUGAAACCUCUGGGCUCAACUCAGAGACGCCACCCGAUACUGCUGUGACUAGAGUGCGGUAGGGGAGCGGGGAAUUCCUGGUGUAGCGGUGAAAUGCGCAGAUAUCAGGAGGAACACCAGUGGCGAAGGCGCCGCUCUGGGCCGUAACUGACGCUGAGAAGCGAAAGCGUGGGUAGCAAACAGG